rnacentral:lncRNA from 1 species
UGCUAAGACACUCUUGUUUCGCUCCUUGACAACCCUGGCGGGACAAGCUGGCUGCCGCCCCGGCUCCGGCCCCCGCGGGAGCAGGCUAACAACACUGCCUGCGGCCGGGCCGCUGAUCACCGUCGCCUCGGUCCAGACCGCUGUGCUUGAAGAGUUGGCGACAUCCUGGGACUCCUGACUGGUCCCAACUAUGGUCUUCCCGGGAUGUCUCAAGGAAUAGCGAGUGUGGUGAAAAGAGACUGGCAAACCUGAUUUGGAUAGGCAACUUACCUAACUUCCCUGGGCUCUAAGGUGGGCAUAUGUAAAAUCAAAAUACUACCAUUUACCUCCUUUUGAACUUCUCAGGAUAAUAU